CUACAACUCAGAAGCGAAUGUUAUUCAUUGUUACAUUUCACCCAGAGUUUGACUACAGUACUGGGAUUUGAUACCUAACUCCCGAACUACGGGCCUGCUGCCUAUUCGUUAUACGAACGGCAGACCACCAGGAUUUUGGCAUGUGCCGCCACUUAAACCCGGUCACCCCUGGAACAACCGAACGGCUGACCACCCUAUGAGCGGAGUGUGUCUCCACUUAAUCGCCC